UCAGGAUGAACGCUGGCGGCGUGCUUAACACAUGCAAGUCGAACGAUGAUGCCCACUUGUGGGUGGAUUAGUGGCGAACGGGUGAGUAACACGUGAGUAACCUGCCCUUAACUUUGGGAUAAGCCUGGGAAACUGGGUNUAAUACCGGAUAUGACUCCUCAUCGCAUGGUGGGGGGNGGAAAGCUUUAUUGUGGUUUUGGAUGGACUCGCGGCCUAUCAGCUUGUUGGUGAGGUAAUGGCUCACCAAGGCGACGACGGGUAGCCGGCCUGAGAGGGUGACCGGCCACACUGGGACUGAGACACGGCCCAGACUCCUACGGGAGGCAGCAGUGGGGAAUAUUGCACAAUGGGCGAAAGCCUGAUGCAGCGACGCCGCGUGAGGGAUGACGGCCUUCGGGUUGUAAACCUCUUUCAGUAGGGAAGAAGCGAAAGUGACGGUACCUGCAG
rnacentral:rRNA from 1 species